AUGGGCAACAGCAAGGCCGCGGUGUGCGUGCUGGCGCUCGUCCUGUGCGGCCUGCUCGCCGCAGACACGGCGGCGGCGGCGGGGUGCGACGCGAGCGCGCUGAGGCCGUGCGUGGGCGCUAUCAUGCUGGGCGGGGCGGUGACGCCGGGGUGCUGCGCGCGGCUGCGCGCCCAGCGGGCGUGCCUGUGCCAGUACGCACGCGACCCGUCCUACCGCGGCUACGUCAACAGCCCAAGGGCGCAGAGCGUCGUCGCCGCCUGCGGCCUCCCCGGGCCCAAGUGCUGA
rnacentral:rRNA from 1 species